rnacentral:rRNA from 1 species
ACGUAGGUGGCAAGCGUUAUCCGGAUUUACUGGGUGUAAAGGGCGUGUAGGCGGGAUUGCAAGUCAGAUGUGAAAACCACGGGCUCAACCUGUGGCCUGCAUUUGAAACUGCAGUUCUUGAGUACUGGAGAGGCAGACGGAAUUCCUAGUGUAGCGGUGAAAUGCGUAGAUAUUAGGAGGAACACCAGUGGCGAAGGCGGUCUGCUGGACAGCAACUGACGCUGAGGCGCGAAAGCGUGGGGAGCAAACAG